CGCUGGCGGCGCGCCUAACACAUGCAAGUCGAACGGAGUUCUUUUGAUGAAGUUUUCGGAUGGAUUCACUUGAACUUAGUGGCGGACGGGUGAGUAACGCGUGAGGAACCUGCCUCAAAGAGGGGGACAACAGUUGGAAACGACUGCUAAUACCGCAUAAGCCCACAGCUCGGCAUCGAGCAGAGGGAAAAGGAGCAAUCCGCUUUGAGAUGGCCUCGCGUCCGAUUAGCUAGAUGGUGAGGUAACGGCCCACCAUGGCGACGAUCGGUAGCCGGACUGAGAGGUUGAACGGCCACAUUGGGACUGAGACACGGCCCAGACUCCUACGGGAGGCAGCAGUGGGGAAUAUUGCACAAUGGGGGAAACCCUGAUGCAGCAACGCCGCGUGAAGGAAGACGGUCUUCGGAUUGUAAACUUUUGUUCUUGGUGAAGAAAAAUGACGGUAGCCAAGGAGGAAGCCACGGCUAACUACGUG
rnacentral:rRNA from 1 species